rnacentral:rRNA from 1 species
UACGUAGGUCCCGAGCGUUGUCCGGAUUUAUUGGGCGUAAAGCGAGCGCAGGUGGUUUAUUAAGUCUGGUGUAAAAGGCAGUGGCUCAACCAUUGUAUGCAUUGGAAACUGGUAGACUUGAGUGCAGGAGAGGAGAGUGGAAUUCCAUGUGUAGCGGUGAAAUGCGUAGAUAUAUGGAGGAACACCGGUGGCGAAAGCGGCUCUCUGGCCUGUAACUGACACUGAGGCUCGAAAGCGUGGGGAGCAAUCAGG